rnacentral:rRNA from 1 species
GGUGGAGCAUGUGGUUUAAUUCGAUGCAACGCGAAGAACCUUACCUGGGCUUGACAUCCCGGGAAUCCCCUGGAAACAUAUGAGUGCCUCGCAAGAGGAGCCCGAUGACAGGUGCUGCAUGGCUGUCGUCAGCUCGUGUCGUGAGAUGUUGGGUUAAGUCCCGCAACGAGCGCAACCCUUGUCUUUAGUUGCCAUCAUUAAGUUGGGCACUCUAAAGAGACUGCCGGUGUCAAACCGGAGGAAGGUGGGGAUGACGUCAAGUCCUCAUGGCCUUUAUGACCAGGGCUACACACGUACUACAAUGGCAGGUACAAAGGGCAGCCACUUAGCGAUAAGGCGCGAAUCCCAUAAAACCUGUCUCAGUCCGGAUUGGAGUCUGCAACUCGACUCCAUGAAGUUGGAAUCGCUAGUAAUCGCAGAUCAGCACGCUGCGGUGAAUACGUUCCCGGGCCUU